rnacentral:rRNA from 1 species
UACGUAGGGUGCAAGCGUUGUCCGGAAUUAUUGGGCGUAAAGGGCUCGUAGGCGGUUUGUCGCGUCGGGAGUGAAAACCUUGGGCUUAACUCAGGGCUUGCUUUCGAUACGGGCAGACUAGAGGUAUGCAGGGGAGAACGGAAUUCCUGGUGUAGCGGUGAAAUGCGCAGAUAUCAGGAGGAACACCAAUGGCGAAGGCAGCUCACUGGGACGGUACUGACGCUGAGACGCGAAAGCGUGGGGAGCAAACAGG